UGUUGUUUGUAGUGGAUUGAAGCAGUGUUUUUUUUUCGGCCUUUCCUGCUUUAAAUCGUGCUCUUAAAAUAUGGAAUUUCAUAAUAGCCGCGAACCCCAAAAGAAAAAACCAGCUCGCCAGUGCUACUGUGAAAAUGACGUGCAGCGAAGUCUUCUCAGCAUCAAGGAAGGAAAACAAACUGCUUACUGGGCUGCAAUAUCUUCUACAAAGAAGACACGAAAAGGACCCCAAACGGUGUUGUCGGAGGAGGAGUUGAAACUUGUUGGAUGGAUCAAAAACAUGCAACGAAAGGGUUUUCCGAUUAUAAGGGAAACUCUGAAAUCAAAAAUACAUCGUUUUUCAAUUCUUAUCCACGACCCAAUCCCUUCUGCAAAAAUGUUCCUGGUCGGAAAUGGUUCCAGAGUUUUCUCAAGAGGCAUAAAACCCUCACGAUACGAACGCCAGAGGCUGUCUCCUCAGCGAGUGCCAAGGUAAGCGAGGUCAAUAUUCGGGGCUGGUUUCACGACUUUAAAACAUAUGCGAUAGAGCACGGAACUGCGCACAUUCUUCAGGAUCCGUCAAGGAUGUGGAAUGGAGACGAGACAUGCUUCUACCUAAACCCAAAAAAUAAAGCUGUGUUGGCUAUUCGUGGGAGCCACAAUGUUUACGAAGUAGAACAUGCCAGCAGACGGCUUAGUUGUGCCUCCA